GUAAACUUCGGUGUGGCUCUUCACCGCUGACAUCAACUCCGGGAGGAGAAGAGGGUGAAAGGUACAGCAAGUUGUACAUGAAGAAGUCCAGGACCUGGAGGUUGUCUGCCACGGACCAGUGCACUGAGACCAGACGAUCCCCGUCAAUAGCUAGAGAAGCAGGUCAGCAGAGGACCAGGACCACUUCCUAAAGAGUCGACGACAGCACAGCCUGACCCGUCAGUUGACAGACCUGCUUUGACACUAGAGCUAGGAAACCCUGUGCAGACAGUUUCUUCAUUGUUGUACAUAUGUGUUUAUGCUAAUAGUAUAAUAUAU